CAGCCGCCGCGGUAAUGCGAAGGGUGCAAGCGUUAAUCGGAAUUACUGGGCGUAAAGCGUGCGUAGGCGGUUUGUUAAGUCUGUUGUGAAAUCCCCGGGCUCAACCUGGGAAUGGCAAUGGAUACUGGCAAGCUAGAGUGUGUCAGAGGAUGGUGGAAUUCCCGGUGUAGCGGUGAAAUGCGUAGAGAUCGGGAGGAACAUCAGUGGCGAAGGCGGCCAUCUGGGACAACACUGACGCUGAGGCACGAAAGCGUGGGGAGCAAACAGGAUUAGAUACCCGCGUAGUCCCUGUCUCUUAUAU
rnacentral:rRNA from 1 species